rnacentral:rRNA from 1 species
AUUGAACGCUGGCGGCAUGCCUUACACAUGCAAGUCGAACGGUAACAGGUCUUCGGAUGCUGACGAGUGGCGAACGGGUGAGUAAUACAUCGGAACGUGCCUAGUAGUAGGGGAUAACUACUCGAAAGAGUGGCUAAUACCGCAUGAGAUCUACGGAUGAAAGCAGGGGAUCGCAAGACCUUGUGCUACUAGAGCGGCCGAUGGCAGAUUAGGUAGUUGGUGGGAUAAAAGCUUACCAAGCCGACGAUCUGUAGCUGGUCUGAGAGGACGAUCAGCCGCACUGGGACUGAGACACGGCCCAGACUCCUACGGGAGGCAGCAGUGGGGAAUUUUGGACAAUGGGCGCAAGCCUGAUCCAGCGAUGCCGCGUGCAGGAUGAAGGCCUUCGGGUUGUAAACUGCUUUUGUACGGAACGAAAAGCCCUGGGUUAAUACCCUGGGGUCAUGACGGUACCGUAAGAAUAAGCACCGGCUAACUACGUGCCAGCCGCCGCAGUAAAAC